AUAUGUAAGAUGACUCAAGAGUCCGGCAUACAGAGCCGAGAUAUAGCUCUGGUGGUAAGAGCGAAGAAGGAGGCGACAACAUUGAUGAUCAGAGGUCGAGAAGCCGCUAUCCGAGGUGAGGUGCUUCUACUAUCAUACGAAAGGGCAUAUUAAGUGCAAUUGUCGGAAACUUCAGAAUGAUUUAAAGGAGACGAAGUGACAAAAGGAGAAAACUGUCAUGAAUUAGGACGAGGAGAUAACAGCGACGGUGCAAGCGGCAGAGUCGGGGAUGAUCGAUUCUGAUGUGCUGUAUGCGGUGACCGGAGGUGCGAAAAUUUUGAAUGAUGCAUGGGUACUCGAUUCGUCGUGUU
rnacentral:lncRNA from 1 species